rnacentral:rRNA from 1 species
CAGCAGCCGCGGUAAUACGAAGGGGGCUAGCGUUGCUCGGAAUGACUGGGCGUAAAGGGCGCGUAGGCGGUUUUGACAGUCAGAUGUGAAAUUCCUGGGCUUAACCUGGGGGCUGCAUUUGAGACGUCAAGACUAGAGUGUGAGAGAGGGUUGUGGAAUUCCCAGUGUAGAGGUGAAAUUCGUAGAUAUUGGGAAGAACACCGGUGGCGAAGGCGGCAACCUGGCUCAUUACUGACGCUGAGGCGCGAAAGCGUGGGGAGCAAACAGGAUUAGAUACCCCCGUAGUCCCUGUCUCUUAUAA